UACGUAGGUCCCGAGCGUUGUCCGGAUUUAUUGGGCGUAAAGGGGGCGCAGACGGCGAUGCAAGCCAGGAGUGAAAGCCCGGGGCCCAACCCCGGGACUGCUCUUGGAACUGCGUGGCUGGAGUGCAGGAGGGGCAGGCGGAAUUCCUGGUGUAGCGGUGAAAUGCGUAGAUAUCAGGAGGAACACCGGUGGCGAAGGCGGCCUGCUGGACUGCAACUGACGUUGAGGCCCGAAAGCGUGGGGAGCAAACAGG
rnacentral:rRNA from 1 species